AUGGCUAGGUCACGUGAUUCUCGUUAUGUUUUCAACUCUGCGGUGUCUUUGUCGCUCCGUACGACAUUUGGCAGCGACCGUAUAGCCUUUAAAUAACUUAAUUUGGCUCACAGGUUUAUGGACCAUUUGUGUUGGGGCCGCAUAACAGCCAUAUCAGAUCUGAGCAGCGCUAGGAAGAACCUCAGCCAGUCGUGAAUCCUCUGUGCUCCGUCAACAUGAAGACGGGACUUCCCUACGAGAGGGUGGAGGACGUUCAGCGGAGAAGAGAAGAAUACAGCAGAGCACAGAUGUACUACAGGUGUGGGCUGGCCCUGGCCAGCGUGUCCGCCCUGCUGGUGCUAGCCGUGAUCCUCCAGAGCCUGAUGACCACCAGGGGGCCCUCCUCGUCCCCGGACCCAGUCCCCAGCCCCAGGUUCCCCGCGGCCCGCGGCCAGACCUGCUCCGACACCUGCAGGAUAGUUUUGGUGGAGAGCAUUCCGGAAGGUUUGGUGUACAACGGGAGCACUGCCAACCCUUCCAUCUACCAGGCAUGGCUCAACCUGAUUGGUGAAGCUCGCAGCAGCCUCGACAUCGCCUCUUUCUAUUGGACGCUCACCAACAAAGACACAGGCACCAAGGAGCCAACCGCCAAUCAGGGGGAGGACGUGCUCAAGAGACUGGGCGAGUUGUCCGGGAAGCUGCCCGUGCGCAUCGCCGUGGACUUACAAAAAGACAAGCACCCUGCCAACCUAAAGUUCCUCACCAGCGCCGGGGCCAUCAUCCGCUCGGUGAACAUGCGGGGGCUCACCAACGGGGUCCUCCACACCAAGUUCUGGAUCGUAGACAAGAAGCACAUCUUCAUCGGCAGUCCCAACAUGGACUGGCGCUCGCUUACACAGGUCAAAGAGCUGGGAGUGGUGGUUUAUAACUGCAGCUGCCUCGCAGAAGACCUGGGCAAGAUCUUCGAAGCCUAUUGGUUCCUGGGCCAGAGCGGUCAGGAAAUCCCCGCUACUUGGCCCAGCAAUUUCUCCACAGCCUACAACAAGGACACGCCCCUCCAGCUGCCACUCAACGACACACAGUCGGGUGUCUACCUAUCGAGCUCUCCUCCCUCCGUGUGCGCUGCGGGCCGGACCUCGGACCUGCAGGCUGUGCUGUCUGUGAUCCAGGACGCUGAGGAGUUUGUGAACAUCGCGGUCAUGAGCUACGUCCCCAUGAUGGAGUUCUCCCGUCCCAAGCAGUACUGGGCUGAAAUUGACACCCAGUUGAGACGAGCUGCGUUCCUAAAAGCGGCCAAUGCUGGACCAGCGCUCCAGGUGCGCCUGCUGAUCAGCGACUGGGCCCACUCGCAGCCAUUCAUGCCGCCCUUCCUCAAGUCCCUGGCGUCCAUCUACGACCCCAAGCACAAACUGGACAUCCAAGUGAGGCUGUUUGUGGUACCGGCCAACCCGUCACAGAAACUAAUCCCCUACGCUAGAGUCAACCACAACAAGUAUAUGGUGACCGACAAGAUAGCCUACAUCGGUAAGGCCACACCCUGCAUGUGGACCACCAUUAACAACACAUGAUAGCCUACAUCGGUGAGGCCACACCCUACAUGUGGACCACCAUUAACAACACAUGAUAGCCUACAUCGGUACAUCCAACUGGUCAGGUGACUACUUUGUGAACACAGCCGGCGUCGCCUUGGUGGUCAACCAGACUGCCUCGCAGACGGAGGAGCCCACUGUCCAAUCACAGCUCAAGGCUGUGUUUGACCGGGACUGGUACUCCGCCUACAGCACCCCGAUCGACCACCACUCCUUUUAAGGGCACGAUUUAGCGAUGUAUGUAUGUAGCGAUGUCUCACGAUGUUUAACACUGCAACAAUCAAAGUGCCAAGGAGCGAACACUGUUUUUCUUCCUAAUACGAAUUCAAACGCUUACAACCAUGUAAAGUUAGUUAGACUCAGAGACCUACCUGUCUUGUAGCAAUAGCUGCCCACAUCAGUAGGAUGUGCACACAUCUUUAUCGGAAGGACAUAGCCAAGUUAUCCAAGUACUACACUGUGGAAAGAAACCUAAUCGACUACCAGAUGAUAGUCCAAUCAAAAUCAAGAAGGGUGUAAGGAGGAAAUUUAGCUUUUGUAUUGGGAGUGAGCUAGACACUUGAGUUAAGGUGAGCGAAAUGUCUCAGAGCUCCUGUCCAAUGCACUAGUGUAGCCUUAAAUAUCCAUUAACACCCCACAAAGUUAUAUAAUGGUCGUUAUUGCUCUUUAUAGAUGUAAGCUGCAGCUUAACUCAAAGUGUUGACCGCAAACUCCCCCGUGAGCUGUUUCCAAGAUGAAAUCUUUGCCUUCUUCUUACCUUGACAACAAGGUGGACAAAAAAGCAAUGAGCUUUAUCAAGACGUGCAAACAGAAUCAACCUCCCCAGUAUUUCAUUCACUCAAAUUUAAAUUACUUUGUACUUUAAAUAAUGGAUCAUUAAUAUAAGCUGGGAUGAAUCCCCUUAUUUCAUCUCAUCUCAUGAAUCUUUUUUUAAAAUCUUUUUUAAGAUCUUUCCUUCAACUAGUUUAGAAAACUGUUUAGUUUUAAAUGGUGCGACUGUGGUGUUUAAAAUAAAGUUAUUUACCUCAAAGUAUUAUCUUUGACAUUACCUCUUCUGCAAACAUCGCCCCAGGUAAUCUCAGGGAGUAAUGAUUGAAUGAAUCAUAUGGUGUGUUUUCAGAAGUGCUUUGAAAUGCUGGAUUUAUUGUGAGAAAAUGUUAAUAACUAUUGGUACGCCAACUUAAAUAGCGCCAAUAGAAAAAAAAAAAAGAUGGGGUUCACUGAUAUUUUUAGAUUCCUUAUCAGAUCGAUGGGUUUUUAAACAUCUUUUUAGUUUACACCGGCUGCCUAUUUAAUGACUUAAAAAAGAUUUGUGUACAGACUUUUUCUUUGUAACACAAUGAAAUAAAUGAUUGAAGAUA